GGUUCACUGUAGGAGUAGGGUAUGCACUUACAUGAAAUCUAUCGAUCUUGAUAGAAGAGGAGUGAUCCUAUGCGAUUUAUUAGACUGAGUUCUAAGACCUUGGCCAGGGCAGCAAUAUAAAGUGGAGAAAGAGUUUUCCACUUCCGACUCAAGUUGAAUAAAUCUAGACAUAUGACAGACGACGGGGUUUGACGAGUUAUCCAUGACCUCCGGUCUGCAGGGAUUCACGAUAGNN
rnacentral:lncRNA from 1 species